rnacentral:tRNA from 2 species
GGGGAUAUAGCUCAGUUGGGAGAGCACCUGCCUUGCAAGCAGGGGGUCAAGGGUUCGAAUCCCUUUAUCUCCA